CCCGCCAUGAUGAGAAUGGACUCAACCUCUGAAACCACGCUCUCUGAAGCUCGUGGCUGCUGCUGCUGUCUCCACUGUGACCAUUCUGAUGUAGUCCUCUUCCUGUUACCAGCUUUACCCACUCUACUAAUGGUGACGAUCUAAAAUAGAGAACCCUGGUAAUAAAUACCCCAGGCCCAGAAAAAACUUCAUGGAGUCCCUUAGUACGA